AUAGUUUGAUCCUGGCUCAGGACGAACGCUGGCGGCGUGCUUAAUACAUGCAAGUCGAACGGAUGUAGCAUACAUCAGUGGCGGACGGGUGAGUAACGCGUGGGCAAUCUGCCCUCUAGCCUGGGAUUACAUUUCGAAAGGACUGCUAACACCGGAUAUGGUGGCAUCGAGGCAUCUCGAAGCCAUGAAAGUUUACACUAGAGGAUGAGCCCGCGUCCCAUUAGCUAGUUGGUGAGUAACGGCCCACCAAGGCGACAUGGGUAGCCGACCUGAGAGGGUGAACGGCCACACUGGGACUGAGACACGGCCCAGACUCCUACGGGAGGCAGCAGUAGGGAAUUUUCCGCAAUGGGCGAAAGCCUGACGGAGCAUCGCCGCGUGAGGGAUGAAGGUCUUCGGAUCGUAAACCUUUGUCUAGAGGGACGAUAAUGACGGUACCUCUGGAGGAAGCCACGGCUAACUACGUGCCAGCAGCCGCGGUAAUACGUAGGUGGCAAGCGUUGUCCGGAAUUACUGGGCGUAAAAGGGCGUGUAGGCGGCCUUUUAAGUCAUACAUUAAAACCCUGGGCUUAACCCAGGACCUGCGUUUGAUACUGAAGGGCUUGAGGACCGAUAAGGCAGU
rnacentral:rRNA from 1 species